rnacentral:rRNA from 1 species
GACGAACGCUGGCAGCGUGCCUAACACAUGCAAGUCGAACGGGAUUUCGUAAACAGCUGCCUCGGUGGAAGAUUACUAGUGGGAGUGGCGAACGGGUGAGUAACGCGUGAGCAGCCUGCCUAUCACAGAGGGGUAGCCUUGGGAAACCGGGAUUAAUACCGCAUAAAAUCGUAGAAACACAUGUUUUAACGGUCAAAGAUUUAUCGGGCAUAGAUGGGCUCGCGUCUGAUUAGCUAGUUGGUGUGAUAACAGCCCACCAAGGCGACGAUCAGUAGCCGGUCUGAGAGGAUGAACGGCCACACUGGAACUGAGACACGGUCCAGACUCCUACGGGAGGCAGCAGUGGGGAAUAUUGCACAAUGGGGGAAACCCUGAUGCAGCGACGCCGCGUGAACGAUGAAGGUAUUCGUAUCGUAAAGUUCUGUCCUAUGGGAAGAUAAUGACAGUACCAUAGAAAAAAGCUCCGGCUAACUACGUG